AACGCGAAGAACCUUACCUGGGCUAGAAAACGUGCGAACCUGGUAGAAAUAUCGGGGUGCUCUUCGGAGAACGCAUGGUUAGGUGCUGCAUGGCUGUCGUCAGCUCGUGUCGUGAGAUGUUGGGUUAAGUCCCGCAACGAGCGCAACCCUUAUCCCUAGUUGCCAUCGGGUCAAGCCGGGCACUCUAGUGAAACCGCUUCGGAUAACGGAGAGGAAGGUGGGGAUGACGUCAAGUCCUCAUGGCCUUUAUGUCCAGGGCUACACACGUGCUACAAUGGCCGGUACAAACCGUCCCAAACCCGCGAGGGGGAGGCAAUCGGAAAAAGCCGGCCUCAGUUCGGAUUGGAGUCUGCAACUCGACUCCAUGAAGCUGGAAUCGCUAGUAAUCGCGGAUCAGAACGCCGCGGUGAAUACGUUCCCGGGCCUUGUACACACCGAGUAUA
rnacentral:rRNA from 1 species